ensembl:lncRNA
ACAACGAUUAAGGAUAAUGUGGUGAAAGUGUGAGCAGAGAGACUGCUGCGAAUGCUCACACGUUAGCUCAUCGUCAUGAAUCGCCACCGUCUCGUCGUCCGCCCACCAGAGAGGGAAACAAAGGAAGCACAGAGAGUUGGAUCGGGACCAGAGUGUCGUGUUUGCCCGAGGAGACAAACCGCACUGGAGGCUUAUUAUGUGAAGUGAUGGUAACGACCUGGACUGAUUGCGGAGCUGAGAAGACUUCUGAUUCAGUCACGAUGAUGGCAGGGAGAUCAGCACUCUGGUGACUCUGCUGCCCCACUGUGGACAAAAGGGAGAAGUGCAUUUGAGAACAGGCGAUAUUUGCGUUUGGUGAGUUUGGUUUGGUCUGACAAAUGUUAUAACCAGUUAUUUGAUUUUAGUGUGGGCCUGUUGGAUCUGUUUAACAUCUCAACUGCAAUCAAAAUUAGCUCUGAAUUAGGAACAAAACAAAAAAUAACACCGGUGCCACCUGUGUGACAAAACCGAUGAAGAAGUGAGUCAAUGAAGUGAAACUAUGGGCUUGUUUUAGGCCUGUUCCGUUAAUGUUUAACCACAAACAAACAAACCAGAAAGCACUGCAGUGUGAGGCGAAACAUUUAUACAGAGUCUGUGCAGGUUUCAGUCUCACCCACCAUUAAUGAAUCAAAUGACACACUACUAUUAUAUUAUAU